GAUGAACGCUAGCGGGAGGCUUAAUACAUGCAAGUCGAGCGGCAGCGCGUCCGACCACCCUCGGGUGGUCGGAUGGCGGCGAGCGGCGGACGGGUGAGGAAUGCAUCGGAAUCUGCCUCGUUGUGGGGGAUAACGUAGGGAAACUUACGCUAAUACCGCAUACGACCUACGGGUGAAAGUGGGGGACCUUCGGGCCUCACGCGAUGAGAUGAGCCGAUGCCGGAUUAGCUAGUUGGCGGGGUAAAGGCCCACCAAGGCGACGAUCCGUAGCUGGUCUGAGAGGAUGAUCAGCCACACUGGAACUGAGACACGGUCCAGACUCCUACGGGAGGCAGCAGUGGGGAAUAUUGGACAAUGGGCGCAAGCCUGAUCCAGCAAUGCCGCGUGUGUGAAG
rnacentral:rRNA from 1 species